UCGGGUGGAAGUUAGAAACUAGUGGCGGACGGGUGAGUAACGCGUGGGUAACCUGCCUCAUACAGGGGGAUAACAGUCGGAAACGAUUGCUAAAACCGCAUAAUAUAGCGAAACCGCAUGAUUUUGCUAUCAAAUAUUUAUAGGUAUGAGAUGGGCCCGCGUCUGAUUAGCUAGUUGGUGGGGUAAUAGCCUACCAAGGCGACGAUCAGUAGCCGGCUUGAGAGAGUGACCGGCCACAUUGGGACUGAGACACGGCCCAAACUCCUACGGGAGGCAGCAGUGGGGAAUAUUGGACAAUGGGGGGAAACCCUGAUCCAGCCGACGCCGCGUGAGUGAAGAAGUAUUUCGGUAUGUAAAGCUCUAUCAGCAGGGAAGAUAAUGACAGUACCUGACUAAGAAGCCCCGGCUAACUACGUGCCAGCCGCGGC
rnacentral:rRNA from 1 species